CUACCCUCGGGUGGGGAAUAACUAGUCGAAAGAUUAGCUAAUACCGCAUAAUGCAGCGGCUCGACAUCGAGACAGUUGUUAAAGCAGAAAUGCGCCUGAGGAGGAGCCUGCGUCUGAUUAGCUAGUUGGUGAGGUAAUGGCUCACCAAGGCUGCGAUCAGUAGCUGGUCUGAGAGGACGGCCAGCCACAAUGGCACUGAAACACGGGCCAU
rnacentral:rRNA from 1 species